GGUACUUUUUGUUAGUACUUUAUGUUGUUUUUUAUUUAUAGCAUGAUUUUAAUGUUUGAGUAACGAGUAGUGACUGCUUUGCAUUUUUUUUGUUUUGCGAGGACUAAUACUGUUGACUAUCGGGUUUAAUUUCAAGCUCAAGUUAUUAGGGUAUUAGUAGUUAUGGCCGUAUGUUGUACUUUGUCUUUUUCAAAUUAUGCUAAUUUGAAUUUUUGAGUAAUGAGUUGUGACUAUUUUGCAUUUAUUUUGUUUU
rnacentral:lncRNA from 1 species